rnacentral:rRNA from 1 species
CUUUACUAUAGCUUUACACUGGACUUUGAGUUUGUUUGUGUAGGAUAGGUGGGAGGCGAUGAAGGCCAGACGCUAGUUUGGUUGGAGCCGACCUUGAAAUACCACCCUGAGAAACUUGAGGUUCUAACCUAGGUAAGAGAAACUUAUCAGAGACAGUGUAUGGUGGGUAGUUUGACUGGGGCGGUCUCCUCCCAAAGAGUAACGGAGGAGCACAAAGGUACCCUCAAUACGGUCGGAAAUCGUAUGAAGAGUGCAAAGGCAAAAGGGUGCUUGACUGCGAGACAGACAAGUCGAGCAGGAACGAAAGUUGGUCUUAGUGAUCCGGUGGUUCUGAAUGGAAGGGCCAUCGCUCAACGGAUAAAAGGUA